rnacentral:rRNA from 1 species
UACGGGGGGGGCAAGCGUUGUUCGGAAUUACUGGGCGUAAAGGGCUCGUAGGCGGCCAACUAAGUCGGACGUGAAAUCCCUCGGCUUAACCGGGGAACUGCGUCCGAUACUGGAUGGCUUGAGUUCGGGAGAGGGAUGCGGAAUUCCAGGUGUAGCGGUGAAAUGCGCAGAUAUCAGGAAGAACACCCGUGGCGAAGGCGGCUCUCUGGGACGGUACUGACGCUGAGACGCGAAAGCGUGGGGAGCGAACAGG